UAACUACAAAGAUGGGUUUGUGCACCUGAUCUUGCCUCUGCUACUCUCAAUGCUGCUACAAAUAAACACUGCUGAAGAAUACAAGACAUAUAUCAUCCACAUGAACAACUCCCACAAACCUGCAUCUUUCUUAACCCAUGAGUCAUAGCACAGGUCCAUCCUAAAAUCACUACCAUCACCUCAUGCAGAUCAAAAUGACAGUGAGGUUGCUGUACUCAUACUACCAUGUCAUGCCCAGCUUCAGCGCCAGGCUCACACCCUCUCAGCUGUCUGAACUGGAGAAAUCUCCGGCUCGUGUUGCCAUGCACCCGGAGUCUUUUGGACAGUUGUACACAACACACAGCCCCAAGUUUCUUGGCCUCAAACACAAACUUGGCUUAUGGCCUGCUGCGUCCUAUGGUGAAGGCGUGAUCAUAGGAGUUAUUGAUUCAGGAAUUUGGCCAGAGAGUGAGAGCUUCAGUGAUAAGGGAAUGCCACAAGUCCCAGAAAGAUGGAAAGGCAAGUGCGAAAAUGGAACAGCAUUCACCUCAUCUCUAUGCAACAAGAAGCUCAUUGGGGCUCAACCUUUUAGCAAAGGGCUCAAAGCUGCAGGACAACCCAUCUCGGAGUAUGACUAUGACUCACCGAGAGACUCCUUAGGUCACGGAACCCACACAUCAUCAACAGCUGCAGGCCAUCAUGUAGUCAGUGCAAGUCAUUUUCGAUAUGCAAAAGGCACAGCAAGAGGGGUGGCACCGCGCGCACAUGUGGCCAUGUACAAGGUCUUGUGGUCAGAAGAUACCAUAUUUAGUGCAAGCAGCGAUGUGCUUGCCGGGAUGGACCAGGCAAUUGCUGAUGGCGUUGAUAUAAUAUCACUGUCAAUUGGCUUGCAAAGGCUCCCUUACUAUGACGAUGUCAUUGCCAUUGCUUCGCUUUCAGCGAUUGAGAGAGGUAUUGUUGUCGUCUGUUCUGCUGGGAAUGAUGGUAACUCCAAUUCGACGAACAAUGGAGCACCCUGGAUCACAACAGUAGGAGCUGGCACGCUUGAUUGUAGUCUCACUGCAUCAUUGACUCUAGAUAAUAACUUGACAGUUGAAGGAACAUCAUACUUCCCAGUGAACGCGUACAUUACAGAUAAGCCAUUGUAUUAUGGGAAAGAAAAUGUGAAGAAAGCAACAUGCGACUUUGGGGCAUUGGAUCCUAAAGAAGUGGCUGGAAAGGUUGUCUUAUGUGAUAACACUACGGAGUUUGAUGUUGGACAGCAAAAGGAACACGUAGAGAAGGCAGGUGCUUUUGCUGGAAUCUUCAUGACCAAUCUUUCAACUAUGGUCCCAGAAGAGUUCAACAUUCCUGCUAUGGUUCUGUCAUCCGAUACAGGGGCUUUGAUUACAGAACAUGUAACAAAGGUCAGCGCAACUCAAGCUAAGAGCCUGACUUUUGUGCACACAAAGUUUGUUGCAAAACCAGCACCACAAGUGGCCCAUUUCUCUUCAAGAGGACCGGACCCAAUCAAUCCAAGUAUUCUAAAACCAGACAUUAUUGCUCCAGGGGUCGAUGUGCUGGCUGCAUUUCCACCUAACAAGAAAUACAUAUUUAGCGUAAACAACUACAAUUUGGCGACAGAUUAUGCAUUGAUGUCAGGGACAUCAAUGGCAGCACCCCAUGUUGCUGGAGUGGCAGCCUUGCUGAAAGCUGUUCACCGAGAAUGGAGCCCUGCAGCCAUCCGAUCAGCGAUCAUGACCACAGCAUACACAGAUGACAAUACUCACACCACCAUACCAAAGGGGCAGUCUUCCCGCCAAGCCCUUAGAUUUUGGGGCAGGCCACAUCAACCCAAACAAGGCCAUGGACCCUGGACUGAUCUAUGACAUGGAUGUGCAAGAUUAUAUUGAGUUCCUAUGUGGCCUUGGGUACAAUGCUAAGCAGAUGAGGGCUGUUAUUCGACAAAGGCAUUGGAGUUGCAGCGCACAACCUACGGAACUAAACUACCCUUCUUUUAUGGUCAUCUUUGAUGGAAAAGACUUCCCAAGAGCCAAAAAAUUUAGCAGGGUUGUGACAAAUGUGGGAAAUAAAAAAUCAAUUUAUAGAGCAGUUUUGGAAGUUCCUAGCGGAAUGCGGAUUGCAGUGGAGCCUAACACUCUAAAAUUCACUAAAAGACAUCAGAAGCAAUAUUUUUGCUUGAGCUUAGAGAUUGAAAACAAUGCUCCGAACACGACCUAUGGUUAUCUCAAAUGGGUAGAUCAAUAUAACCACAUUGUAUCAAGCCCUGUAGUGGCAAUGAAUCACUAAUUGAUAUGAACAGCAUAUUCAUGUGCAGGACUCAAGAUUAUUUUAUUCCUUAUCGAUUGAUUUAUGUAAAUACUGAAUAAAGCAACACAUUUUUAUAUCAUAGAAGCAUGGUGCCUUUAAAAUUUUGCAUCAAUGAAAUUCUUUUUCAGAUACCCUUAACCUCAUCUUACCCAAAAGAAGUAAAAUUGCGAACCCAAAACCACAAUCAGAAUGCUUGAAAGAAUGGUAUAAACAAAGUACAAAUAUUUUGAAAGAAAAAACUCACAGGCAGAGAAAGAGAGUUGUAAA